rnacentral:sRNA from 1 species
AUUUUCGUUAUUCUAAGUUUUAUUCCGCAUACACUGUGUUCUUGACAUUUUGUAAUCCGGAUUUCUCUUAAUCUAUUUAGUAUUCAGGAUUUGCUUUUGAUUU